rnacentral:rRNA from 1 species
UGGGGAAUUUUGCACAAUGGGGGUAACCCUGAUGCAGCGACGCCGCGUGAUUUAGAAGGCCUUCGGGUUGUAAAAAUCUUUUCUAUGGGAAGAAAAUGACAGUACCAUAGGAAUAAGGACCGGCUAAUUACGUGCCAGCAGCCGCGGUAAUACGUAAGGUCCGAGCGUUGUCCGGAAUCAUUGGGCGUAAAGGGUACGUAGGCGGGUAAGCAAGUUAGAAGUGAAAUCCUAUAGCUCAACUAUAGUAAGCUUUUAAAACUGCUCAUCUUGAGGUAUGGAAGGGAAAGUGGAAUUCCUAGUGUAGCGGUGAAAUGCGCAGAUAUUAGGAGGAAUACCGGUGGCGAAGGCGACUUUCUGGCCAUAACCUGACGCUGAGGUACGAAAGCGUGGGUAGCAAACAGG